AAAUAAAGAAAAAAAUUCAUCUGAGACAAAUCGACUCUCUCAUGAGCAAAGGGGAAUUAGGGUUUGAACGAAAUCAAUUUGCUUUUCACCAGACGAACAUAUGUGAGUUUUCGUUUUCUUACUUUCCUUCCAGCGGUUUCUUAUUGUUUCCCCUACUUGCGAUUGUUUCCGAUUAGUGAUUCCUCUUUUUUUUUGACAAACGAUCUAAUUGGAAAAAUACAAAAACUGGAUAUUUUGGGAAAGUAAAUCCUCUACAAAAUCUUCAACUCCUUCCACUCAAAUGGCAUCGAGAAAGAGGUGAGGUGGACUAAUAAUUAUUUUUGGCUGAAUGAUUCCCAGACAACGACGGAUACAGGAGAAUGAUUUUACUCCUUUUGGAGGUGAUUUGAUGCGAGAGUUUAAGAAUGCACUUUUGAAGCAGAGAACGAACAGAGCAUCAGGCUCUCGAUUGGCAAAAUUGCAGGAUAAUCAGAAUAAGAGUCUUAUCCAACGCCGCUUAUCCGAACUUGAAGUUUGAAAGAAGGUUGGCUUGAUGGUGGAAGCUUUGCUUUUGCAGUUUUACUUGUCAUUGUUUUUACAGAAGGUGGAGGAGGCUGAAGAAGCUUGAUGGUGGUGGUCUCGCCACCGACGCCAUAUCAGAAGAAGCAUGGCUCGAGAUGAGAAGACAAAGGGCUGGUGAUUCAAGAUUCAAGCGAUUCAAGAACAUAAAAUAACUCGUGCUCUGUUUUUUUCUGUGUGUGUGUGUUUUUUAUUUAUUUGGGACAAAGUUUAAUGAAAUACCAUUACAAGAUAUUACUAACAUUAUGUAUUUUUGGUUAACUUAAUGGAAUAGAAAAAUUUUUAU